rnacentral:rRNA from 1 species
GACGAAGGGGGCUAGCGUUGUUCGGAAUUACUGGGCGUAAAGCGCGUGUAGGCGGUUGCCCAAGUCGGGUGGGAAAGCCUUGAGCUCAACUCAAGAAAUGCACUCGGUACUGGGUGACUAGAGGACCGGAGAGGAUAGUGGAAUUCCCAGUGUAGUGGUGAAAUACGUAGAGAUUGGGAAGAACACCAGUGGCGAAGGCGGCUAUCUGGACGGUUUCUGACGCUAAGACGCGAAAGCGUGGGGAGCAAACAGG